UUGAAUAAAUAAAUAUAAAGCUUUUAAAAAUUUAUGAUUUCACUGCCCGUUUCCCUCCGCCCGCUUUAGUGACAAACGUAAACGUUAGUGAUCGGCCGCAAUCUUUUGUACGGUGCGUAGUAUAUGCAAUACAAUUACAAAAAAUAAUAUGCGGUUACUAAGAUAAAAUCAAAUCUGUGACGAGUGAUUUUGUUUAAGGUCCGCUCAUAAACAAACAAAAAGGCACGGUUUUGACCUCAUACACAGAUAAUUUGAACAAUGCUACUAAUAAUUUAGUUUAAAUGAACCAAUAACAAUAAUCGAAACAUGAUUAAUCAUUAAAUUUUCCUCAUUAUAUUUCCUAUAAAUAUCGCAGUUACAUAUUUCAUGUUAGUAUUUUCGUGAAGUUCAGUUGUAUAACAAGUAAAGUACUUAAACUUGGAAGAUCUUAUCAAGCGAAUAAAAGAUGAAGCUUGUGUCCACGGUACUGUUAUCGCUAUUUUUCGUCGUCUUCAUUGACGCAAGAUUAUCUUCGCAUAUGAAUUAUCAGGACUAUCAAAGGUUUUAUGGAAACAGAGUUUAUCCAAUUUACCCAUCAUUACACUUUAGGUAUAGUGAAGGUAACUCAAAUACCAAACAUAAAUCACAUAGGGUAGAGAACACAGAGUGUCAAUGCCCAUGCUCUAAAAAUCAAAAGUACGAACAGGAAACAAUAACCCUAAUGACACACAUGCUUACUGAAUUACAACAAAUAAGUUUGACACUGCAACAGCCAAUAAAGUUUCAAAUGGACAAGCAAAACACUAUGAAAGAUAAUUCAAAGGUAGAAGAAGACACAAAACAAGACAAUGCACAUUUAAUUCCAGUCGAAGAAUCUCUCCCAAAAGUUAACUUCAAGAAAUUUGAGGUUAGCAAUCAUGAUGAUGAUAUAGUUAAUGAAUCUAAAAAAACAAAGGGACCACGGAAAGUAGCCGAAGUACCCGAAGAACCCGAAGAUAAUAUAAGACCCAUAUCUUUUGCUCCAGUUAAUAUAAAAACCUCAGUCAAACAUUUUCCGCUUGAUCAUGGAUCUAAAUUUUAUUAAUUUUCAAGUUAAUGCAAUGUAUAAUAAUAAAGCAUGUUUUUUGAAUAAUUAUUAAAUAUAUAAGACAUUUAGGCAUAAUAUAUCAUAUAAGGUAUUGUUCUGUAAAAAAUAAUCACCAUCAAAAGUAUUACAAUACAAAUGCAUUUUGGCUCUUGUAAUCGACAAUAAAAGAUAUUAAAUCUGGGACUAUA